UUCCUAUUCUGGACCCCUUCGAACACCCUCUUUGGUACCUCUACACUACCCGUAUUUAUUCACCUGAGUUUAGGCUUCCGCCCUUCUUAAAAACCGGCUUUCGAGAUAUAACAGCACGAGUUCUGACUGACCAAUUUUUACUGCCAAAGUUUUGUAAAGUUAAAGUUAAAGUACUGAGUAUAUUUUAAAGAGUUAUUACAGACACUGACUUCUGAGGUCCCGUCCUACGUUUUACGUUCUACGUCGUUUUGUGUAUGGUGUCAGUGUAUGAUGCACAGUGUACGGAGUAUGGUGUGAUGUAGUAACUUACCGUUGUGUGGACAGACAAGAGCCGGAAUACUAUGUACAAUGAAUUGUCUAUAUAAAUGUGAAAACGU